UUAAGCGACUAAGCGUACACGGUGGAUGCCCUGGCAGUCAGAGGCGAUGAAGGACGUGCUAAUCUGCGAAAAGCGUCGGUAAGGUGAUAUGAACCGUUAUAACCGGCGAUGUCCGAAUGGGGAAACCCAGUGCAAUUCGUUGCACUAUCGUUAACUGAAUACAUAGGUUAACGAGGCGAACCGGGGGAACUGAAACAUCUAAGUACCCCGAGGAAAAGAAAUCAACCGAGAUUCCCCCAGUAGCGGCGAGCGAACGGGGAGCAGCCCAGAGUCUGAAUCAGCUUGUGUGUUAGUGGAACGGUCUGGAAAGUCCGACGGUACAGGGUGAUAGUCCCGUACACCAAAAUGCACAGGCUGUGAACUCGAAGAGUAGGGCGGGACACGUGGUAUCCUGUCUGAAUAUGGGGGGACCAUCCUCCAAGGCUAAAUACUCCUGACUGACCGAUAGUGAACCAGUACCGUGAGGGAAAGGCGAAAAGAACCCCGGCGAGGGGAGUGAAAAAGAACCUGAAACCGUGUACGUACAAGCAGUGGGAGCACCUUUAUGGUGUGACUGCGUACCUUUUGUAUAAUGGGUCAGCGACUUAUAUUCUGUAGCAAGGUUAACCGUAUAGGGGAGCCGCAGGGAAACCGAGUCUUAACUGGGCGUUAAGUUGCAGGGUAUAGACCCGAAACCCGGUGAUCUAGCCAUGGGCAGGUUGAAGGUUGGGUAACACUAACUGGAGGACCGAACCGACUAAUGUUGAAAAAUUAGCGGAUGACUUGUGGCUGGGGGUGAAAGGCCAAUCAAACCGGGAGAUAGCUGGUUCUCCCCGAAAGCUAUUUAGGUAGCGCCUCGUGAACUCAUCUUCGGGGGUAGAGCACUGUUUCGGCUAGGGGGUCAUCCCGACUUACCAACCCGAUGCAAACUACGAAUACCGAAGAAUGUUAUCACGGGAGACACACGGCGGGUGCUAACGUCCGUCGUGAAGAGGGAAACAACCCAGACCGCCAGCUAAGGUCCCAAAGUCAUGGUUAAGUGGGAAACGAUGUGGGAAGGCACAGACAGCCAGGAUGUUGGCUUAGAAGCAGCCAUCAUUUAAAGAAAGCGUAAUAGCUCACUGGUCGAGUCGGCCUGCGCGGAAGAUGUAACGGGGCUAAACCAUGCACCGAAGCUGCGGCAGCGACACUAUGUGUUGUUGGGUAGGGGAGCGUUCUGUAAGCCUGCGAAGGUGGCCUGUGAGGGUUGCUGGAGGUAUCAGAAGUGCGAAUGCUGACAUAAGUAACGAUAAAGCGGGUGAAAAGCCCGCUCGCCGGAAGACCAAGGGUUCCUGUCCAACGUUAAUCGGGGCAGGGUGAGUCGACCCCUAAGGCGAGGCCGAAAGGCGUAGUCGAUGGGAAACAGGUUAAUAUUCCUGUACUUGGUGUUACUGCGAAGGGGGGACGGAGAAGGCUAUGUUAGCCGGGCGACGGUUGUCCCGGUUUAAGCAUGUAGGCUGGUUAUCCAGGCAAAUCCGGAUAAUCAAGGCUGAGGUGUGAUGACGAGGCACUACGGUGCUGAAGUAACAAAUGCCCUGCUUCCAGGAAAAGCCUCUAAGCAUCAGGUAACAUCAAAUCGUACCCCAAACCGACACAGGUGGUCAGGUAGAGAAUACCAAGGCGCUUGAGAGAACUCGGGUGAAGGAACUAGGCAAAAUGGUGCCGUAACUUCGGGAGAAGGCACGCUGGUGUGUAGGUGAAGUCCCUGCGGAUGGAGCUGAGACCAGUCGAAGAUACCAGCUGGCUGCAACUGUUUAUUAAAAACACAGCACUGUGCAAACACGAAAGUGGACGUAUACGGUGUGACGCCUGCCCGGUGCCGGAAGGUUAAUUGAUGGGGUUAUCCGUAAGGAGAAGCUCUUGAUCGAAGCCCCGGUAAACGGCGGCCGUAACUAUAACGGUCCUAAGGUAGCGAAAUUCCUUGUCGGGUAAGUUCCGACCUGCACGAAUGGCGUAAUGAUGGCCAGGCUGUCUCCACCCGAGACUCAGUGAAAUUGAACUCGCUGUGAAGAUGCAGUGUACCCGCGGCAAGACGGAAAGACCCCGUGAACCUUUACUAUAGCUUGACACUGAACAUUGAGCCUUGAUGUGUAGGAUAGGUGGGAGGCUUUGAAGCGUGGACGCCAGUCUGCGUGGAGCCAACCUUGAAAUACCACCCUUUAAUGUUUGAUGUUCUAACGUUGGCCCCUUAUCGGGGUUGCGGACAGUGUCUGGUGGGUAGUUUGACUGGGGCGGUCUCCUCCCAAAGCGUAACGGAGGAGCACGAAGGUUAGCUAAUCCUGGUCGGACAUCAGGAGGUUAGUGCAAUGGCAUAAGCUAGCUUGACUGCGAGCGUGACGGCGCGAGCAGGUGCGAAAGCAGGUCAUAGUGAUCCGGUGGUUCUGAAUGGAAGGGCCAUCGCUCAACGGAUAAAAGGUACUCCGGGGAUAACAGGCUGAUACCGCCCAAGAGUUCAUAUCGACGGCGGUGUUUGGCACCUCGAUGUCGGCUCAUCACAUCCUGGGGCUGAAGUAGGUCCCAAGGGUAUGGCUGUUCGCCAUUUAAAGUGGUACGCGAGCUGGGUUUAGAACGUCGUGAGACAGUUCGGUCCCUAUCUGCCGUGGGCGCUGGAGAAUUGAGGGGGGCUGCUCCUAGUACGAGAGGACCGGAGUGGACGCAUCACUGGUGUUCGGGUUGUCAUGCCAAUGGCACUGCCCGGUAGCUAAAUGCGGAAGAGAUAAGUGCUGAAAGCAUCUAAGCACGAAACUUGCCCCGAGAUGAGUUCUCCCUGAGACUUUAAGUCUCCUGAAGGAACGUUGAAGACGACGACGUUGAUAGGCCGGGUGUGUAAGCGCAGCGAUGCGUUGAGCUAACCGGUACUAAUGAACCGUGAGGCUUAACCUU
rnacentral:rRNA from 1 species